rnacentral:lncRNA from 1 species
CCCUAUGUGGACCCCAACUAUCAACCACUAACGGAAUACCAGCCCCCCGUAUCCCAUACUUAUUCACCUAGAUCCACAACCAAUUUCCAAACAUUUUUAACUUUGAAAAAUCAUUAUUUAUGCAUCUUAGACUUACUAAUGAAUGACAUGAAGCUUACAUGAUCUAUCUAUGUUUAAUCAAAUAAACAAACAUAAAAGUAACAAGUACCACAACAAUUAUACUUCACAUCUUUAAUCAAAUCAUUGAACACAUAAUGAUAUAGAACAUAACACUUUAGUUUCACAUUUCAUUUCAUAAGUACACAUAAACAUUUAAUAUCACAUAGUAGCACCAAGAAGAGCAUUCUUCAACUUUAACCACGUUAUAAUCAC